rnacentral:rRNA from 1 species
GAUGAACGCUGGCGGCGUGCUUAACACAUGCAAGUCGAGCGAGAAAGUUCUUCGGAACAAUCUAGCGGCGGACGGGUGAGUAACACGUGGGCAACCUGCCUCAUAGAGGGGAAUAGCCUUCCGAAAGGAAGAUUAAUACCGCAUAACAUCGUUGAAGGGCAUCCUUCGAUGAUCAAAGGAGUAAUCCGCUAUGAGAUGGGCCCGCGGCGCAUUAGCUAGUUGGUGAGGUAACGGCUCACCAAGGCAACGAUGCGUAGCCGACCUGAGAGGGUGAUCGGCCACAUUGGGACUGAGACACGGCCCAGACUCCUACGGGAGGCAGCAGUGGGGAAUAUUGCACAAUGGGGGAAACCCUGAUGCAGCAACGCCGCGUGAGUGAUGACGGCCUUCGGGUUGUAAAGCUCUGUCUUUGGGGACGAUAAUGACGGUACCCAAGGAGGAAGUCACGGCUAACUACGUGCCAGCCGCCGCGGUAA